ACAUGAGCCUCUCAAGUGUCCCAUGCCAGAGCAAACUAGCUCGGAAACACUGCCUGGUCUCUGCCUAUAGGCUGCUGAAAUGGGUUACACAGUG
rnacentral:snoRNA from 1 species